GCCGGGGUGGCGGAAUUGGUAGACGCAAGGGACUUAAAAUCCCUCGGUUGGCAACAACCGUGCCGGUUCGAGUCCGGCCCUCGGCA
rnacentral:tRNA from 1 species